CCUACGGGAGGCAGCAGUGAGGAAUAUUGGUCAAUGGGCGCGAGCCUGAACCAGCCAAGUAGCGUGCAGGAUGACUGCCCUACGGGUUGUAAACUUCUUUUAUAAAGGAAUAAAGUGAGGCACGUGUGCCGUUUUGUAUGUACUGUAUGAAUAAGGAUCGGCUAACUCCGUGCCAGCAGCCGCGGUAAUACGGAGGAUCCGAGGGUUAUCCGGAUUUAUUGGGUUUAAAGGGAGCGUAGAUGGGUUGUUAAGUCAGUUGUGAAAGUUUGCGGCUCAACCGGAAAAUUGCAAUUGAUACGGGCAGUCUUGAGUACAGUAGAGCAGGGCGGAAUUCGUGGUGUAGCGGUGAA
rnacentral:rRNA from 1 species